rnacentral:rRNA from 1 species
GACGAACGCUGGCGGCGUGCUUAACUCAUGCAAGUCGAACGGAAAGGCCCUGCUUUUGUGGGGUGCUCGAGUGGCGAACGGGUGAGUAACACGUGAGUAACCUGCCCUUGACUUUGGGAUAACUUCAGGAAACUGGGGCUAAUACCGGAUAGGAGCUCCUGCUGCAUGGUGGGGGUUGGAAAGUUUCGGCGGUUGGGGAUGGACUCGCGGCUUAUCAGCUUGUUGGUGGGGUAGUGGCUUACCAAGGCUUUGACGGGUAGCCGGCCUGAGAGGGUGACCGGCCAAAUUGGGACUGAGAUACGGCCCAGACUCCUACGGGAGGCAGCAGUGGGGAAUAUUGCACAAUGGGCGGAAGCCUGAUGCAGCAACGCCGCGUGCGGGAUGACGGCCUUCGGGUUGUAAACCGCUUUCGCCUGUGACGAAGCGUGAGUGACGGUAAUGGGUAAAGAAGCACCGGCUAACUACGUG